GGAAACACCCCGUCUCUUGCUGCUGUUUUCACUGCUUUCAGAAAUGGUUUAAUGUCUUCGAAAAAGUCCGUUAGCAUCUCUACCGUUUUCAGACGACGUAUCGUUAGAUUCUUCAAUGCUGACGGCCUGCUGCACCCCAGCAGAGUUGGAGCGAGCCUCCUGUCAAACAACAUCUCCAAGAUGCUAUUAACCA